UACGUAGGGUCCGAGCGUUGUCUGGAAUUAUUGGGCGUAAAGAGCUCGUAGGUGGUUCGGUAAGUCGGAUGUGAAAUCUCCAGGCUCAACCUGGAGGGGUCAUUCGAUACUGCCGUGACUAGAGGUCGGUAGGGGAGUGUGGAAUUCCGUGGUGGAGCGGUGAAAUGCGCAGAUAUCAGGAGGAACACCCGUAGCGAAGGCGGCACUCUGGGCCGAUACUGACACUGGAGGAGCGAAAGCGUGGGGAGCGAACAGG
rnacentral:rRNA from 1 species